rnacentral:rRNA from 1 species
UACGGAGGGUGCGAGCGUUGUCCGGAAUCACUGGGCGUAAAGGGCGCGUAGGCGGCCUGAUAAGUAGGGGGUGAAAUCCUGCGGCUUAACCGCAGGGCUGCCUUCUAAACUGUCAGGCUCGAGCACAGUAGAGGCAGGUGGAAUUCCCGGUGUAGCGGUGGAAUGCGUAGAGAUCGGAAGGAACAUCAGUGGCGAAAGCGGCUUCCUGGACCAGCACCGACGUUCAGGCACGAAAGCGUGGGGAGCAAACAGG